UAAUGUUAAGAUAUAUAAUGAUAAAUUAUAUUAAAAUGAAAGUAUACAAAGAAACUAUUAUGGAAUUAAAGCUAUGAAAUUAAAGAGAAGAAUUUCCAAUAUAGGUUAAACUCAAAGAGAAAUCGAGUAAAAAACGAAGUGAACUGAAAUAUCAAAGUAGCUUUAGGAAAAGAAAUCUCAGGAGAUUCUAUGGGUAGCGAGAGCGAGAGUAGAGAAGGCAGAAAGUAAAACGGAAUAAGAGAUUUUGUUUAAAAGAGGUGAACCAUCAUCGAAGCCUAAAUAUAG
rnacentral:rRNA from 1 species